rnacentral:rRNA from 1 species
GGGAAUAUUGCGCAAUGGAGGAAACUCUGACGCAGUGACGCCGCGUGCAGGAAGAAGGUUUUCGGAUUGUAAACUGCUUUAGACAGGGAAGAAACAAGACAGUACCUGUAGAAUAAGCUCCGGCUAACUACGUGCCAGCAGCCGCGGUAAUACGUAGGGGGCAAGCGUUAUCCGGAUUUACUGGGUGUAAAGGGAGCGUAGACGGUUAUGCAAGUCUGGAGUGAAAGCCCGGGGCUCAACCCCGGGACUGCUUUGGAAACUGUAAAACUGGAGUGCAGGAGAGGCAGGCGGAAUUCCUAGUGUAGCGGUGAAAUGCGUAGAUAUUAGGAGGAACACCAGUGGCGAAGGCGGCCUGCUGGACUGUAACUGACGUUGAGGCUCGAAGGCGUGGGGAGCAAACAGG